rnacentral:lncRNA from 10 species
CACCAUUCUAGAAUUCUCUGAGUUUUUUGAGCUUAGAGCAGAGUUUCUCAAGAGCUGCAAUACUGGCAUUUGAGUCAAGUCGUUCUUUAUUGUUGGUGGUGGAGGGGGCACCCUGUAUAUUGUAGGACGUUGGGCAGCAUCUCUGACUUCUACCUACUAGAUGCCAGUAUCUCAGUUUUCUUAAAAGACUUUUUUUUUUUUUUUUUUUUUUUUGAGAUGGAGUCUUGCUGUGUUGCCUAGGCUGGAGUGCAGUGGCACCAUGUCGACUCACUGCAACCUCCGCCUCCCCGGUUCAAGCGAUUCUCCUGCCUCAGCCUCCUGAGUAGCUGGGAUUACAGGUGAGCACCACCAUGCCCAGCUAAUCGUAAAAGACUUUUCAUAAAACUUCAGAACUCCUUAAAAACUAGUGAAUAGCCAAGGUGAAGAAAGCCCUCAGGCUUCUGACUUUAGACCCCAAUCCCUGGGACUCCCACACUCAGCAAAGAAAGCUGGGUGCCUGCACCCUGGAUCUCUGAGCAAACCUGUCUUAUGGCUGUGGGCAACUCAGGAACAUGAAUUAGCACGAGAAUCUGGAGUUUUUCUUUCCUUUUCUGGUAAGACACUUGUGGUUUUUUUUUUUCAAAUUCCAAUUGGAAAUUUGCUUUACAUGAACAACAAACAAACUUGAUACUCUUUUAGUGGAGGCAUUAUUUGUUCCUUUAUUUUUUGCACUUAAACAGACAGGCAGUAUGCUUUCUCUGUGUGGAGACCAAGGUCUGUUAAAGGGCUGCUUUUCACGGAAGCUUCACUAAUUUAUACUCAUGGCUGACAUACUCACCUUGUGGGGCUGACACACCGAACCUAACUGAAUAUUGUCCCAUUAACAAAACUAAUGUAUUACGUGUAAGGCACCAGUAAUUAACCUUUAAACUUCGGUUUUGAACAACUCUCAUUUUUAACCUUUAUUUAAGUGUCAUAGUUGUCUUACCUCCUCUUGGCAUUUUUUUUUUAAAGCUCUUCCUAGAUUAAUUGCAUGUUGUAACUCCCUUUUUCCAUUCAAGACAGUUUUGUUUUACGUGCGCUUAUUAUGGUACUUUUAUAAUUGCUUUUUGGUUCUCUGGGCCAUUCUUUUGACAUGCCUCCUUUCUUGGAUCUGUACUAUGAUAGGUGGCUGGGCAUGGUGGCUCAUGCCUGUAAUCCCAGCACUUUGGGAGGCUGAGGCAGGCAGAUCACUUGAGACCAGGAGUUCAAGACCAGCCUCGCCAGUGUGGCGAAACCCCAUCUCUACUAAAAAUACAAAAAUUAGCUGGGCUAGGUGGCGUGCACCUGUAAUCCCAACUAUUCAGGAGGCUGAGCCAGGAGAAUCGCUUGACCUGGGGAGGCAGAGGUUGCAGUGAGCCGAGAUCUAUCCCCUGCACUCCAUCCUGGGCAACAGAUUGUGACUCUGUCUCAAAAAACAGUAAUAAUAAAAUACACUAUGGAAGGUGUUGGUCUGUCCAUGUGACCACAUGCAAUGAGGUGCUUUGUGCGUUUGCCUUGUGUGAGCAGCGAUGGAAUGAUCCUAGCGGGGCCUUGGAGGAACUGGAAUGUUCUUUGCCUAGUUGCACCUGCGUCAGCUCUGUAGGCCCAGCCCUGGGGCCCAGCAGCUGCUCCCCUGGUUUGCUUUCCUCCCAGGUUGCCUCAUGCUGCUGCUGAGCAACCUUCACCUGAUGGGCGGUGCCACAGCAGGGUCAGUGAAGGGUGCCCCUUCCUUCUAGUGACCUGGGCUGCCCUAGCCCUGGCCCUUCAGUAGCCAUUCCAAACCUUUCUGGUCCCCCCAAAUCCAGGACUUUAUCCCCUUCACCCUCAGAGGAUGACCUUAUAUUCUAUUUUGUGGAGAAAAUGGAGACUGUCCAUCAAAACCCCUUAACUCCCGUCCUGCGUGCAUUCCUAAGUUCCUACAUUAACCCCCGUGUCACUAGCUAACGAUCCUUUCUGUCUCAGGAAGCAGUGUUCUUCCUCGCGCACAGGGCUCUGCGUUUGUCUAAGGCAGAGAGACCUGGGCCCUGAUCCCAUUCUCUUUCCUCAACUCCAGGAACUUGCUUCCUGCAUUCAUUUUCUUUUUUCCAAUGAUUCCUCCUUCUCAGCACAUAAAAGUGACCAACCCCUCGCCCCACCCCCGCUGCACAAAAAACAAAUAGAAAAUGGAAACCAGUCCAACCAGGGUGAACCUCCACUGACUGUGUGCCCUUGUUGAGCUACUGCUCAUAGGGGAGCUUCUAGAAAGGAAGGACUUAUUGUCUUAGUUACUUGAUCCACUUCCUUACCUCCUGUUCAUGCAACUUUGCUUGUUUUGCUUCUACUAAAAUGGUUCUAGGUGCUGUGUGGACAGGUGAUACAAAAGCCUGACUCACACGGUUGACAUUCAUUCAUUCCAUUUUCAUUUCUCUUUGAGUGAUCCUGACAAGCAGAGGGUCUCAGGUGGAUAUUACUGUGUCUUUGAGACCUCUCUAAUCCUUAUCUAUCUCUCAUUUUAAUACAGAGAGUUUCAUACGCAGACCUUAAGUAGACAUAGUAUCCAGCUAAAAGGGUCUCACUCUGUCACCCAGGCUGGAGUGCAGUGGCGCAGUCAUGGCUCCCUGUAACCUCAACCUCUCAGACUCCAGCAAUCCUCCUGCGACAGCGAAGUUAAUCUUCUGGUUCGGUUCACAAAGUGCAGGAGAGCCUACCAGCUUGAGAGAAAAGGAGUCAUGCUGUAUUUGUUUCCUUGAGUGAAUGGCCACUCAGCUGCUGUGUUUCUCCCUGCAUGUGGCUGAAGUUUACAUUGGAGGGUGACUUCCUGAUUGCCAGUUAGCAUAUGUGUCCGGCUACCAGCCGCCUGACUGGCUGAGGAUGCUCUUUGUUUGUUCAAGGAUGAACGUUCUCCCCCUGCCUUGCAGGAAGAGGGGAGCAAGGUGCGCCCGGGAGACGCGUGACAGUGCCCUGUAAAGCCAGUAGAGGAAAUCUUGUGGAGUGUGAAUGCACAGGCUUAGAUUCCCCUGUCCCUGAGUCGGGGGCAUGUGCUCGUGGAGAAUGACCCUAUCAAGUUCAAGGUGUGGCAUCUCCUGAUCCAGCAACAGGAUUUGUUCCAGAGAAAAAUCCCCAGGUCUUGGGACUGUUGACAGAUGGCCAUGACUAUGCUUAAUGUGGUCAUCAACUGAGAAUGGUCCGUCUCAUCUUUGAGUAUGCAAUUACCUUUAUAGCUGAUUAUGACACCCUCAGAUCAUAUCAUGAGGUGGACAAGAUGAGUCCAUGGCCCAUGCUGAGAACUGGUACUUCUGUCUUCAUAGACUCACUCACCAACCAGAGAUGUACGACGGACCCCAAAUGGUCUGUCAAAAAUGUGAACUUGCACUAAGACAAGACCCAACAUCAGUGACAUUGGACACAAGAUAGAAAUCAGAGAACAGUUACUGUCCAGCAGUUUUAACCACCAAUACCCAUUUAUUUUAAUGGAAAAAAAAA